AGUGAACGCUGGCGGUAGGCCUAACACAUGCAAGUCGAACGGCAGCACAGUAAGAGCUUGCUCUUACGGGUGGCGAGUGGCGGACGGGUGAGGAAUACAUCGGAAUCUACUUUUUCGUGGGGGAUAACGUAGGGAAACUUACGCUAAUACCGCAUACGACCUACGGGUGAAAGCAGGGGAUCUUCGGACCUUGCGCGAUUGAAUGAGCCGAUGUCGGAUUAGCUAGUUGGCGGGGUAAAGGCCCACCAAGGCGACGAUCCGUAGCUGGUCUGAGAGGAUGAUCGGCCACACUGGAACUGGAACACGCUCCAGACUCCUAAGGGAGGCAGCAGUGGGGAAUAUUGGACAAUGGGCGCAAACCUGAUCCAGCCAGACCGCGUGGGUGAAGAAGGCCUUCGGGGUGUAAAGCCCUUUUGUUGGGAAAGAAAAGCAGCAGGUUAAUACGCCGCUGUUCUGACGGUACCCAAAGAAUAAGCACCGGCUAACUUCGUG
rnacentral:rRNA from 1 species